UCCGUAGGGUGCAAGCGUUGUUCGGAGUUACUGGGCGUAAAGGGCGCGUAGGCGGGCCCGUAUGUCGAUUGUGAAAGCCCUGGGCUUAACCCGGGAAUGGCAGUCGAAACUGCGGGUCUUGAGUGCCUGAGAGGAUGGCGGAAUUCCCGGUGUAGAAGUGAAAUUCGUAGAUAUCGGGAAGAACACCUGAGGCGAAGGCGGCUAUCUGGCGGUGCACUGACGCUGAGGCGCGAAAGCGUGGGGAGCAAACAGG
rnacentral:rRNA from 1 species